ACGAACGCUGGCGGCAGGCUUAACACAUGCAAGUCGAACGAGAUCUUCGGAUCUAGUGGCAGACGGGUGAGGAACACGUGGGAACAUCCCUUUCAGUUCGGAAUAACUCAGGGAAACUUGAGCUAAUACCGGAUACGUCCGUGAGGAGAAAGAUUUAUCGCUGAAAGAUUGGCCCGCGUCUGAUUAGCUAGUUGGUGAGGUAACGGCUCACCAAGGCUACGAUCAGUAGCUGAUCUGAGAGGAUGAUCAGCCACAUUGGGACUGAGACACGGCCCAAACUCCUACGGGAGGCAGCAGUGGGGAAUAUUGGACAAUGGGCGCAAGCCUGAUCCAGCCAUGCCGCGUGAGUGAUGAAGGCCUUCGGGUUGUAAAGCUCUUUUGUCCGGGAAGAUAAUGACUGUACCGGAAGAAUAAGCCCCGGCUAACUUCGU
rnacentral:rRNA from 1 species